GUCCAUGCCGUAAACGUUGGGCGCUAGGUGUGGGGCUCAUUCCACGAGUUCCGUGCCGCAGCUAACGCAUUAAGCGCCCCGCCUGGGGAGUACGGCCGCAAGGCUAAAACUCAAAGGAAUUGACGGGGGCCCGCACAAGCGGCGGAGCAUGCUGAUUAAUUCGAUGCAACGCGAAGAACCUUACCAAGGCUUGACAUACAGGGAAAACUGUCAGAGAUGGCAGGUCCGCAAGGGCCCUGUACAGGUGGUGCAUGGUUGUCGU
rnacentral:rRNA from 1 species